rnacentral:rRNA from 1 species
UACGAAGGGUGCAAACGUUGCUCGGAAUUAUUGGGCGUAAAGCGCACGUAGGCGGCAUUGCAAGUCGGAUGUGAAAUCUUAUGGCUUAACCAUAAAAGUGCAUCCGAAACUGCAGUGCUUGAGUACUUAAGAGGAUCGCGGAAUUCCCGGUGUAGAAGUGAAAUUCGUAGAUAUCGGGAGGAACACCAGUGGCGAAGGCGGCGAUCUGGGAAGAUACUGACGCUGAGGUGCGAAAGCGUGGGGAGCAAACAGG